AUUGAACGCUGGCGGCAGGCCUAACACAUGCAAGUCGAACGGUAGCACAGAGAGCUUGCUCUCGGGUGACGAGUGGCGGACGGGUGAGUAACGUCUGGGAAACUGCCCGAUGGAGGGGGAUAACUACUGGAAACGGUAGCUAAUACCGCAUAACGUCGCAAGACCAAAGUGGGGGACCUUCGGGCCUCACACCAUCGGAUGUGCCCAGAUGGGAUUAGCUAGUAGGUGGGGUAAUGGUUCACCUAGGCGACGAUCCCUAGCUGGUCUGAGAGGAUGACCAGCCACACUGGAACUGAGACACGGUCCAGACUCCUACGGGAGGCAGCAGUGGGGAAUAUUGCACAAUGGGCGCAAGCCUGAUGCAGCCAUGCCGCGUGUAUGAAGAAGGCCUUCGGGUUGUAGAGUACUUUCAGCGGGGAGGAAGGCGGUGAAGUUAAUAACUUCACCGAUUGACGUUACCCGCAGAAGAAGCACCGGCUAACUCCGUGCCAGCAGCCGCAGUAA
rnacentral:rRNA from 1 species